AGUGAACGCUGGCGGUAGGCCUAACACAUGCCAGUCGAACGGCAGCACAGGAGAGCUUGCUCUCUGGGUGGCGAGUGGCGGACGGGUGAGGAAUACAUCGGAAUCUGCCCAGUCGUGGGGGAUAACGUAGGGAAACUUACGCUAAUACCGCAUACGACCUUCGGGUGAAAGAGGGGGAUCGCAAGACCUCUCGCGAUUGGAUGAGCCGAUGUCGGAUUAGCUAGUUGGCGGGGUAAUGGCCCACCAAGGCGACGAUCCGUAGCUGGUCUGAGAGGAUGAUCAGCCACACUGGAACUGAGACACGGUCCAGACUCCUACGGGAGGCAGCAGUGGGGAAUAUUGGACAAUGGGCGCAAGCCUGAUCCAGCCAUACCGCGUGGGUGAAGAAGGCCUUAGGGUUGUAAAGCCCUUUUGUUGGGAAAGAAAUCUUUCAGGCUAAUACCCUGGGAGGAUGACGGUACCCAAAGAAUAAGCACCGGCUAACUUCGUG
rnacentral:rRNA from 1 species